GGCCUAAUGGUCUAGUAGUAUGAUACGCGCUUCGGGAUUAUUCCCCCACACCUGGUGUGGUGAGCAUGUGCGUGGUCCCGGGUUCAAUUCCCGGUUGGGCCC